UCCCUGGUGGUCCAAUGGUUAAGACAUCACCUUCCAAUGCAGGAGGUGCAGGCUGGAUCCCUGCUCAGGGAG
rnacentral:tRNA from 1 species